rnacentral:rRNA from 1 species
GUGUCAGCCGCCGCGGUAAUACGUAGGGUGCGAGCGUUAAUCGGAAUUACUGGGCGUAAAGCGUGCGCAGGCGGUUUUGAAAGACAGGCGUGAAAUCCCCGGGCUCAACCUGGGAACUGCGCUUGUGACUUCAAGACUAGAGUACGGCAGAGGGGGGUAGAAUUCCACGUGUAGCAGUGAAAUGCGUAGAGAUGUGGAGGAAUACCGAUGGCGAAGGCAGCCCCCUGGGCCAGUACUGACGCUCAUGCACGAAAGCGUGGGGAGCAAACAGGAUUAGAAACCCCAGUAGUCC